rnacentral:rRNA from 1 species
CUACGGGCGGCUGCAGUGGGGAAUAUUGGACAAUGGGCGCAAGCCUGAUCCAGCAAUGCCGCGUGAGUGAAGACGGCCUUAGGGUUGUAAAACUCUUUCGCUAGGGAAGAUAAUGACUGUACCUAGUAAAGAAGUCCCGGCUAACUCCGUGCCAGCAGCCGCGGUAAUACGGAGGGGACUAGCGUUGCUCGGAAUUACUGGGCGUAAAGAGUUCGUAGGCGGACUGACAAGUUAGAGGUGAAAUCCCAGGGCUCAACCCUGGAACUGCCUUUAAAACUGUCAGUCUAGAGACCGGAAGAGGUCAGGGGAAUACCUAGUGUAGAGGUGAAAUUCGUAGAUAUUAGGUGGAACACCAGUGGCGAAGGCGCCUAACUGGUCCGGUACUGACGCUGAGGAACGAAAGCGUGGGGAGCAAACAGGAUUAGAUACCCUGGUAGUC